rnacentral:rRNA from 1 species
UACGUAGGGACCAAGCGUUGUUCGGAUUUACUGGGCGUAAAGGGCGCGUAGGCGGCAAUUCAAGUCAGCUGUGAAAUCUCCGGGCUUAACUCGGAACGGUCAGCUGAUACUGCUUUGCUAGAGUGCAGAAGGGGCAAUCGGAAUUCUUGGUGUAGCGGCGAAAUGCGUAGAUAUCAAGAGGAACACCUGAGGUGAAGACGGGUUGCUGGGCUGACACUGACGCUGAGGCGCGAAAGCUAGGGUAGCAAACGGG